GACGAACCGUGCGAACGUUGUUCGGAAUCACUGGGCUUAAAGGGCGCGUAGGCGGCUUGCCAAGUCGGGGGUGAAAUCUUUCGGCUCAACCGGAAAAGUGCCUUCGAUACUGGCGAGCUAGAGCGAGGUAGGGGCAGCUGGAACUUCCGGUGGAGCGGUGAAAUGCGUUGAUAUCGGAAGGAACGCCGGUGGCGAAAGCGAGCUGCUGGACCUCUUCUGACGCUGAUGCGCGAAAGCCAGGGGAGCAAACGGG
rnacentral:rRNA from 1 species